UACGUAGGUGGCAAGCGUUGUCCGGAGUUACUGGGCGUAAAGGGCAUGCAGGCGGUCCGACACGUUUUGUGUGACAGCGGGUGGCUCAACUGCCCGAGCAUACGAAAGACGGUUUGACUUGAGGGCUCGAGAGGGAUGCGGAAUUCCAGGUGUAGCGGUGAAAUGCGUAGAUAUCUGGAGGAACACCGGUGGCGAAGGCGGCAUCCUGGACCGACACUGACGCUGAGGAGCGAAAGCCAGGGGAGCAAACGGG
rnacentral:rRNA from 1 species